UACGGAAGGUCCGGGCGUUAUCCGGAUUUAUUGGGUUUAAAGGGAGCGUAGGCCGGAGAUUAAGCGUGUUGUGAAAUGUAGACGCUCAACGUCUGCACUGCAGCGCGAACUGGUUUCCUUGAGUACGCACAAAGUGGGCGGAAUUCGUGGUGUAGCGGUGAAAUGCUUAGAUAUCAUGAAGACGACCGAUCGCGAAGGCAGGUUUCCGGAGCGCAACUGACGCUGAAGCUCGAAAGUGCGGGUAUCGAACAGG
rnacentral:rRNA from 1 species